UCCACCAACCUUCGUUUCUUAUCUUUUAUCGGAACAAGUGUCGUAGUAUGCUAAGUUUUAUGUCAAUAUGAAUAUUUUUUACACGUUAUAAGUACCUAAUGGACUCGAAAAUUGGAUAUUUUUGGGAUAAAGAAGGGAAGAUUCAAUCACCGGGAGCCGUAGUUCUUGAGAAAAAUGAAACUACUUAAAAUAAUUUCCGUUCAUAAUCUUGUUCGAUUGCUGACCACUUGGCGAUUUUAUUGUGUUGAUUGCAUCAUGGCUUUGAUUUUUUAUUUCCUUUAAAUGUCCGCCCCGGGUAACUUCAAAUCCUGGAUCCGCCACUGGGACCGGCAGGGAGUUGAUGAUGACGCCGUUGAGAUAGUCCGGCGGGUUGUUCAUCGCCAUAUGUCGGCGUCGGCGAUCCGGCCAUGGCGAGGACCUCUACCCAAGAUAUGUCUUCCCAAACCUACUUUGUCUGAUUACUUCAAGGCCGGGGCGUGGAAAUUAGUCCAGAGAAAGAAGAAAAGGAAGUCGGCGGCCGCGGCGGCGGCAGGCGGAUCGGCUGAGAUCCGAGCUGCUAGGAUCCAGCGUUUGAAUAUCAUCUUGGGCUUGGGUGGGCUCGAGCCGAGUGUUGUGGCUAUGGGCCGGAUUGCGGAUGGGUAUGAGGCCCAACGUCUGGCGAGUCAGAGUGGGCCGGGGUUAGCUGGGUAUGAGGCCCAGGCUAACUUGGACUCCACUUCUGCCGACACCAAAGGCCCAUGCAUGCGAUCGAGUGAUCGUAGAUCGAUAUGCGCCGUACUGCUGCCGUCGCUGCUCCCUAGGGUUCGUCGCCGCGGGGUGGCUUCGGGGUUUGCAAGUGUGGUCCGGGUGGUGCUACUCGCAUCCCUCCUCUUGUGACGAUGGCGGGACGGGGUGGUUCGGCCGCGACCGGUCCGAAGAAUCCGGUGAUCGCCGGGGUUGUGCCGGCCGGCCGAGGUGGUGGACUUCCACCAGGCCAGAGGCCUGCGCUGCAUGUGGGUCGUGGCGCGCUGCCGGGGCCGAGACCAGCGCUGGCCGCUGGGUGCGGCACUCCGCCAGGUCCGCGACCUGCGCUGGCUGCGGGGGCGGUGCCGGCCGCUAGGCGUGGUGGUCAGGGCUAUAGGCCACCGGCACCGGCUGUCCCGUCGCCAUCUACUGCUGCUGUGGGGCGCGGUAUUUCUUAGCAAAGACCGCCGACGCCCAGUGCGGCCAUGGAAGCACCUCGCAAGCAUGCCUUGGUGCCGGGUCAGCAGCGCAAGCUGCGCCACCACCACAUUACGUUGCUAGGCCGCCUCAGAAGCGUGCUGUGCCAGCACAGAUUACGCCAGCGCAACAUGUGGCGGGCGAGCGAGGUGCGGAUGCUGCUCAUGCACCGGCUAACCGCGGCGGUAAUGGACAACCCCGAGGACAGUGGGGUGAUGAUGGCUAUAAUGCUUAUGGGGAUGGCCAAUAUCGUGGCUCAUCGUCCGCGGGUGGCGGGUGUGGCUACGCAUGGCAGAGUGAUGGGUCAGCGGAACGACCUUUCCACGGCCCUCCGGGAGGUUUUGUUGAGGGGGCGUCUGGCGCUGAUUAUAGGCAGCGAGGCGGCUACCGAGGUCAUCGUGGUGGUCGCGGUGUGCGCGGUGGUAGGAACCGUUACCGCCAACCUCUAUAGUUUUGGAACAUAUAAACACGGCAUCAAAGUGCUACCUGGCACCAAAUAAAGAGUUCAGGUCAGGGUGUUAUACUGCAGCUAAGCAGUAUUGUCUGAAUUUCUAAGUUUGAGGAGGAUUUCAGUGUUUCUAAAGAAAGGGACAAGGAUCAUGGCUAUAAGAUUGUUGAAAGACUCGGAGACAUGUAUCAUGAAUCGGGUGCAGUAUGCUUUCUACCCGUCUUUUCCUUAUUGACUAAACCUUAGUAAAUGACUAUUUCCAGUUUUCUCAUGUAACCUGAACUGCUGCUGGUUUAAAUUUCAGUUCCGCAAGCUGCGGCACACAUGGUCUGCCUCCCUGUCAUCCUACCUGCUUCAGGGCCCUCUACUUCUUCCCCCAAGAUUGCCUUUAUGAUUAACAAAUCUGACAAGAGUAAUUUAAUUGGUGACACAUCAUAUUUAUUCUGCAACUGCACGUGAAUUCUCAUCUUGCGCCUACCUCUUUUGCUUACCAGGUUGCAGAAUUUCAUUAACUUAUUUGUCGAAGUAUCCUGCAAAAUCAUUUCUCUUAUGGGAAUUAGCCUGUUGUAUUGAUCUAACAAGGUCCACUUCAACCUACGUAACAAUUAUGCAGUGAAGAUGGAGAGCUUUAGGCAAAAAAAGAAAGAAAAAAAACUAGCACGUGAUCUACGGAGAAUAACUUUGACAGCAACUCCAACUAUGCAAUGGAGUACACUUGAUGCGAUCAAUUCUGGUGUGUGUGUGUGUGUUUGUGGAAUGCAAUGACGUAUGAAUAACGACAGAAAAAUAUGCCUGAGGAGUAUGGGUUGCACAGAGGAGUAUAAGGAUGUCUUCAUCGGGCCAGUCCACGUGGAAGACGUCGCGUUAGCCCAUAUCACAUUGUUUGAAAACCCGGCUGCAUCCGGGAGGCACCUCUGUGUGGAGCCCAUAUGUCACUUGAGCGAUUUCGCGUCCCAAGUCCCGGAGCUCUACGCCGACUACGAAGUCCCGAAUUUAGUUGGCAGAUUACCUGAGGACACGCAGCCUGGGCUGGUGAGAGCGGAGGUAGUGCCGAAGAACUGAUGGCACUGGGCCUGCAUUUCACUCCUUUGGAAAAGAACAUCAAGGAUGCAGUGGAGAGCCUUCGGAGAAGAGGAUGCAUCGCCUGAUGGCUGGAUUAUUAGCUGUACCAUAUUCCUUCCCUUCUGUUGUAGGGUCAUGAUGAUCAACCCUUGCUCCAGAGAUGUGUGUUACG